rnacentral:rRNA from 1 species
UCCAGGUAAGACAACAGGGAUUACCUCAGUAACGGCGAGUGAAGCGGUAAUAGCUCAAAUUUGAAAUCUGGCCUCUUGGGGUCCGAGUUGUAAUUUGUAGAGGAUGUUUUGGGUACCGCCCCGGUCUAAAUUUCUUGGAACAGAAUGUCAAAGAGGGUGAGGAGUCCCGUCUUGAACCGGCGGUAGGGCCUGUGUAAAACUCCGUCGACGAGUCGAGUUGUUUGGGAAUGCAGCUCAAAAUGGGUGGUAAAUUUCAUCUAAAGCUAAAUAUUGGCCCAGAGACCGAUAGCGCACAAGUAGAGUGAUCGAAAGAUGAAAAGCACUUUGAAAAGAGAGUUAAACAGUAUGUGAAAUUGUUGAAAGGGAAGCGCUUGCAACCAGACUUGAGCGCGGCGGUUCCCCCGGUCUUUUGGCCGGGCUACUCCGUCGUGUCCAGGCCAACAUCGGUUCUGAGGGUCGGUCAAAGGCCUUGGGAAUGUAUCUACCCACGGGUAGACUUAUAGACCAGGGUGUCAUGCGGCCUCUCGGGACCGAGGAACGCGCUUCGGCUCGGAUGUUGGCGUAAUGGUUGUCAGCGACCCGUCUUGAAACACGGACCAAGGAGUCUAACAUCUAUGCGAGUGUUUGGGUGUCAAACCCGGAACGCGGAAUGAAAGUGAACGGAGGUAGGAAGCUUCGGCUGCACUAUCGACCGAUCCUGAAGUUUACGGAUGGAUUUGAGUAAGAGCAUAGCUGUUGGGACCCGAAAGAUGGUGAACUAUGCCUGAAUAGGGUGAAGCCAGAGGAAACUCUGGUGGAGGCUCGCAGCGGUUCUGACGUGCAAAUCGAUCGUCAAAUUUGGGUAUAGGGGCGAAAGACUAAUCGAACCAUUAAGAAUUAGCCACUCGGUGGUUAAGUGUGGGCCCGAAAGGGUCCGCAAGUGCCAGGUUCUGGCGCGACACCGUCAAAUUGCAGGGACUCCCUAAAACUCCAGGGACCGCCGGCCGCCCGAAAGGGAGGUUUUUACGGCACCAGGUUAACGACCUCGGGUAUGGUGACACCACUGGAGAUGUAACAAUGGGUAAUCUGCAGCCAAGUCCUACGGCCCCCUCGCGGGGGCUACGGAUGCAGUUCACAGACUAGAUGGCGGUGGGCUCGGAGAGCUUAAGACAUAGUCGGCCCCCUGGGGAGACCCAGGCGCAUCGCUAAACUCGAGGUGAAGGAUCCCGCUCAUGGGCGGUCACCGCGAGCCCGAACGGUGCGGGCCUUUUUGUAGUAAAAAGGUCGGAUAAGCGACAUUGC